CUUACCAUGCAGUCGAGCGAUGAAGCCCCUUCGGGAGUGGAUUAGCGGCGGACGGGUGAGUAACACGUGGGUAACCUACCUCAAAGAGGGGGAUAGCCUCCCGAAAGGGAGAUUAAUACCGCAUAAUAAUCAGUUUUCACAUGGAAAUUGAUUUAAAGGAGUAAUCCGCUUUGAGAUGGACCCGCGGCGCAUUAGCUAGUUGGUAGGGUAACGGCCUACCAAGGCGACGAUGCGUAGCCGACCUGAGAGGGUGAUCGGCCACAUUGGAACUGAGAGACGGUCCAGACUCCUACGGGAGGCAGCAGUGGGGAAUAUUGCACAAUGGGCGAAAGCCUGAUGCAGCAACGCCGCGUGAGUGAAGAAGGUUUUCGGAUUGUAAAGCUCUGUCUUUGGGGACGAUAAUGACGGUACCCAAGGAGGAAGCCACGGCUAACUACGUGCCAGCAGCCGCGGUAAUACGUAGGUGGCAAGCGUUGUCCGGAAUUACUGGGCGUAAAGAGUGCGUAGGCGGAUAUUUAAGUGAGAUGUGAAAUACCCGGGCUUAACCCGGGCACUGCAUUUCAAACUGGAUAUCUAGAGUGCGGGAGAGGAGAAUGGGAUUCCUAGUGUAGCGGUGAAAUGCGUAGAGAUUAGGAAGAACACCAGUGGCGAAGGCGAUUCUCUGGACCGUAACUGACGCUGAGGCACGAAAGCGUGGGUAGCAAACAGGAUUAGAUACCCUGGUAGUCCACGCCGUAAAC
rnacentral:rRNA from 1 species